CUGGACAGCUGGCCUGAGGAUGGAUUUUUGCCUGGCUGCAGUCAAAUGUGCUUGCAAUGGGAGCACAAGCUCAACAGCAAAGGGAUAGGGGAGAGGAAAACCAGAGGAGGCUGCCACCCAUGAACCUGGUGCUCUCCAGGACCACCCCAGCAAGGAAUGUCACCCCGGGUAAGGGCAGGAGGAUGGGACGUGCAGGGAGGAGAUCCCACCCUUCUUCUGCACCAGGUGCCCAGUGAAAAUCAUGUUGGAUAAUGACCCACCUUACUCCAGUAUUUAUGGGAAAUACAAGGCAAAAGACCAGAAGGGCUUUUUUCCCCCCCGUCCUUGUUGUAAGAAGUACUUCCCCUCACCGUCCUGCCGAC